AACGAACGCUGGCGGCAGGCCUAACACAUGCAAGUCGAACGCACCUUUCGGGGUGAGUGGCGGACGGGUGAGUAACGCGUGGGAACGUGCCCUUUGCUACGGAAUAGUCCCGGGAAACUGGGGGUAAUACCGUAUGUGCCCUUCGGGGGAAAGAUUUAUCGGCAAAGGAUCGGCCCGCGUUGGAUUAGGUAGUUGGUGGGGUAAAGGCCUACCAAGCCUGUGAUCUGUAGCUGGUUUGAGAGGAUGAUCAGCCACACUGGGACUGAGACACGGCCCAGACUCCUACGGGAGGCAGCAGUGGGGAAUAUUGGACAAUGGGGGAAACCCUGAUCCAGCAAUGCCGCGUGAAUGAAGAAGGCCUUAGGGUUGUAAAGUUCUUUUGUCCGUGACGAUAAUGACGGUAGCGGGGGAAUAAGCUCCGGCUAACUUCGUGCCAGCAGCCGCGGUAAAGUACAGUGU
rnacentral:rRNA from 1 species